rnacentral:tRNA from 1 species
GCUUUCGUGGUGUAAUGGUAACACACUCGGCGCGUAUUUGAAAAAUCCAGGUUCGAAUCCCGGCGAGGGCA